UAGGUGUAUGAGGCGAACUCGGGGAACUGAAACAUCUAAGUACCCGAAGGAAAAGAGAUCAACCGAGAUUCCCAAAGUAGCGGCGAGCGAAAUGGGACGAGCCCUAAAGCUGAAUUAAAGUUAGUUGAAUGCCCUGGAAAGAGCAGCGAAAGAGGGUGAUAGCCCCGUAGACGAAAACUUUUUUACAGUGAAAAUGAGUAGGUUGGGACACGAGAAAUCCUGAUUGAAGGUGGGGGGACCAUCCCCCAAGGCUAAAUACUCCCAGAUGACCGAUAGUGAACUAGUACCGUGAGGGAAAGGCGAAAAGAACCCCGGAGAGGGGAGUGAAAUAGACCCUGAAACCCUGUGCAUACAAGCAGUGGGAGCAGACUUGUUCUGUGACUGCGUACCUUUUGUAUAAUGGGUCAGCGAGUUAAUUACAGUAGCGAGGUUAACCGGAUAGGGGAGCCGUAGUGAGAGCGAGUCUGAAUAGGGCGAUAGUUGCUGUGAUUAGACCCGAAACCGAGCGAUCUAGCCAUGGGCAGUGUGAAGGUUCAGUAACAUGAACUGGAGGCGCGAACCCACUUACGUUGAAAAGUGAGGGGAUGACCUGUGGCUUGGAGUGAAAGGCUAAACAAGCUCGGAGAUAGCUGGUUCUCCCCGAAAUCUAUUUAGGUAGAGCCUCACGUAUUACCAUUGGGGGUAGAGCACUGUUUCGGCUAGGGGGCCAUCCCGGCUUACCAAACCGAUGCAAACUCCGAAUACCGAUGAGUAGAGCGUGGGAGACAGACGGCGGG
rnacentral:rRNA from 1 species